UACAGAGGGGGCAAGCGUUGUUCGGAAUUACUGGGCGUAAAGGGCGCGUAGGCGGCCUGCUAAGUCGAACGUGAAAUCCCCGGGCUCAACCCGGGAACUGCGUCCGAUACUGGCAGGCUUGAAUCCGGGAGAGGGAUGUGGAAUUCCAGGUGUAGCGGUGAAAUGCGUAGAUAUCUGGAGGAACACCGGUGGCGAAGGCGGCAUCCUGGACCAAUUCUGACGCUGAGGAGCGAAAGCCAGGGGAGCAAACGGG
rnacentral:rRNA from 1 species